rnacentral:rRNA from 1 species
CCUACGGGUGGCAGCAGUGAGGAAUAUUGGUCAAUGGACGAGAGUCUGAACCAGCCAAGCAGCGUGAAGGAUGACUGCCCUAUGGGUUGUAAACUUCUUUUAUAUGGGAAUAAAACAGGGUAUGCAUACCCUCUUGUAUGUACCAUAUGAAUAAGGAUCGGCUAACUCCGUUCCAGCAGCCGCGGUAAUACGGAGGAUCCGAGCGUUAUCCGGAUUUAUUGGGUUUAAAGGGAGCGUAGGUGGAUUGUUAAGUCAGUUGUGAAAGUUUGCGGCUCAACCGUAAAAUUGCAGUUGAAACUGUGAGUCUUGAGUGCAGUAGAGGUGGGCGGAAUUCGUGGUGUAGCGGUGAAAUGCUUAGAUAUCACGAAGAACCCCGAUUGCGAAGGCAGCCUGCCGCAGCGUUACUGACGCUGAUGCUCGAAAGCGCGGGUAUCGAACAGGAUUAGAUACCCGAGUAGUC